CCUCCCUCGGGUUCCACUUUUUGUUUUCUUUUUUGUCGUAUAGUACUCCUCCUCCUAAGAGAGAGAGUUAGAGAGCGAGAGAGACACACACACACAUAGAGAGUUCCAAAGUACCAAACCCUCGCCGCCGGGGAUGUCGCCGUCGACGCCCCACCCGGGCCGCGCGCCGGCUGGCCGUUCUCCGGGACUCUUGGGCACUUACCUCCAUCCAGCUCCAGCCUCUCGCGCAGCCGUCCAUUCAUUCAACGCCAGUAUGUGAGAGAAAGAAGAAGAUAAUUUCUGGAUGGGCCAAAGCUAAUUGAGAUGGUGACGACCGAGGUGUUUCUACCAUGAAAGUUCCAACCAUGAAGAGGGUAGAAACCUCAAGUGCCAUGAAUGGAAGUUCGAGCUGAAAUGGGAAGUGAUAUGUCUAACUGACAAUAGGACUGCCCUAGGCACUAAAGGGCAAGGAACAAGGGAGUAGUACAUGGAAUGUUUGUGUUGAAUAAGGAGGUGUUUGGGUGAGAGGGACUAAAUAAGUCCCUCCCUAGGCACUACUCCAAGGAAGUUGGAACUAGUAACUAUAUCCACAGCUGUAUAUGGAAAGUCUUUGGUCUCUGCAGAGGACCAAAAUCUGUACAAGGAUUGUGUGGGUGGGGGUUCAGUUUAGUCUCUCUCCCUCUCUCUUUUUUGUUUUUCAGUUUUUGAACAGGAGUUUUAAGCCCUGUUUGGCAAAUGCUCUCUGUUUUAACUGCUAUGCAAGCCAUUUUCAUGCCUGUUGUGCAGCUUCAGGUUUUCACUGUUUUAUUGUUCAGGAUUUAUGUAGACAACCUCCUGAGAAAGUGUAAAAUGUUGUCACUUAA